rnacentral:snRNA from 1 species
AGGGCACUGGGCCUUUUGGCUAAGAUCAAGUGUAGUAUCUGUUCUUAUCAAUUUAAUGUCUGAUACGUCCUCUAUUGAAAAAGGGCAACUACUACUGAGUUCCAGCUAAU